CUACCACUUAACAGGCGUUGAUGG
rnacentral:siRNA from 1 species